GACAACAGAAGCCUCUUGUUCUCCUGGAUUCUGCCCUGUGUGCAGCUUCCUUGGCUGACUUGAAACUGUGUCCUUCUUCUGUGAUAAACUGUAACCACACCUAUAACAGCUUUCGGUACAUGCUCCUGGGGGAAGGUAGGAGGAGCUCAUCACCCCAUGAGCAGAGCCUCUUUUCCCCGAGGACGGACGUUGGAAUCCUCUGAGGAGCUGCCAGAUGCUGUCACCAUGAAAACAGUGCCCAACGGAUCAGCAGGAAGCUGCUUGGUUUAUGGACAGCAGGUUCAGGCAGAAUGGGGAGCAUCCUGUUUGGAAGGCUGUCCCUCUGUUUUGUUUUGUUUUUUUUGUUUGUGUUUUGAGACAGGGUCUUGCUCUGUCACCCAUGCUGGAGUGCAGUGGUGUGAUCACUGCUCAUUGCAGCCUCAGACUCCCAGGCUUGAGUGAUCCUCCUGCCUCAGCCUCCCUAGUAGCUGGGACUACAGGCACCCGCCACCACACCUGGCUAAGUUUUAAAAUUUUUUUUUAGAGAUGGGGUCUGGCUAUGUUGCCCAGGUUGGUCUCAAACUCCUGAGCUCAAGUGAUUCUUCCUCCUCUGCCUCCCAAAGUGCUGAGAUUACAGGCAUGAUUCUCUGAUUGAAGAAGGAAAAGUCAAACUAGCUCAGUGGGCUGACUUGCAUGUGGUUUUCCUGUUUGGGUUUUUACUGACUCAUAAGGGGUGGCCGGUGACAUGGCCAUGUGAUUGCAGAUAGCCAGUGGAAAACUAGUCUAUUAAAGAAAGGGCCCCUUGAAAAUCACCGUGGGAGUUUCAGGGGUGCAUUAAAGUAGAACAUGACAAUAUCCAUCAGAAGAACCCCUUCCAGGAUCAGAAGGUGAUCGGAACUGGCAAAUGGGAGUCCUGGUGCAUUCACUUGGGAUGGCCACAAGGGCCCAUGGAAGCCGUGGAUGUGGAGGCUGCAGCGGCGCAGGGAAGGGCUGCGCCUAAACAUGUCCUCCCCCUCAACACACCCUCGGAGCCAUGAGAUGCAACUAUCUGCUGAUACAGAGACAGAGACUGCAGAUGGCUGCAGGGCAGAUUUACCUGGAAGCAGAGGGGGGUAAGGGGGAGGCCCUGCACAUAGCUGGCAAGUAGAAUUGAUUCUGUAGCCCCAGAAGCCUACAAAUAGGUCCUGAAAGGAACAGACACUGACUCUGGGCUGGGCUUUGCUUGCCCAGUGGUACAUGCAAAUACACAGAGUGCUGUAAAAGAGCUGGAACAGAAGCUUUCAUGCCAGUGUGCACUGCUGAGUUACAUUUCUUCACAUCAAGAAACACACUCAUCUUCAGAGCAAUGGCUUGAGAAAGAAUUGAAACAGGCAAUUGAAACACUGGUUUUCCAAAAAGAAAGAAGCUAUAGGCACCAAGGGCUGGUGUGUGCUCACACUGAACAUGAGGGGCCAAGGGAGGGUCCCUGCUGGGGAGAUUCCUCUGCUUUUCUGGGGAGCUGGGGAGGAGGGGGUCGGGGAGAACUCAUAUAAUUAUACAAGUCUUUCCGUGAGGGAAGGAUAAUGGUACAGUUCUUCUGUUUGCUGCAUGCACAUGAGUAAUUGUCCCUGGUAAUUUCUUUGCUCUGAAGGUUCUAUCUGUAUUAAUAGAGCCAUGAUUACUUGAUUUUGUUCAUGUUCUCAUGGUCUACCUUUCUCCAUCCUUUUAUCUUCAGCCUAAUCAUAUAAUAAUUACAGUUGAAAUGAGUUUCUGAAACACAGCGUGUAUCGGGAUCAUGUUUUUGUAUCCAUUCUGCCAAUAUCUUUAAAUUGGUAUAUUUGUCCAUUUACAUUUUAUGUAAGUACUGAUAUAACAGGGCUUAAUCCUGCCAUUUUAUUUUCUGUUUACUGUUUUUUCCCUCU
rnacentral:lncRNA from 10 species